GUUAAAAGCAACCUUAGCUGGUGUUCCUGCAACGCAACACCUUGCUCAUAAACAAAAGCCAUGAAGCAGAUUAAAUAACUCUUUGUUCACUUUUUGUUUCGUCUGUUCUGUGAGACAAUAGUGCUGAAAAUAAAGUUACUGGCACAUCAUGUACAAGGAAGUUCACGACUCUUGUUUGGUAUGUGGUGUGUGCCAGUAUAAAAGUGCUAGUGCGAGAGGUUUGUCCUCAUACCAACCACCAACAUGAAGGUCCUGCUUCUUACAGUCCUGCUGCUGCUGCUGUGUAGCACUCAAGUGCUCACACUCAGGUGCUACACCUGUGAAAGUGACAACAACGACCUCUGUAAGACGGAGACAGAUUGCCCGGACACAGCUCAGUACUGCAAGACUGUUAUGGGCGGAGGUGACAUUAAGUCUCGAACUUGUGAGGAGUUUUGCGCUGAGGACCUUUUCACAACCUGCUGCCAACAGGACCUUUGCUAGACCUGAGGCGUCACUCAGCGCUCACUGUCGCUUUCUGUUUAACUACAACAGUGUGAAGAAAAUGAAUCACUUGAGUCUGAACGUGAUGGAAGAUGACUUUUUUUUAUUAUUUUAAUGAAACUAUCCUGUCUUUGAUUUGUUUUUAUUAAAAGUUUCACUUAAAUCUACAAAUGUUGAAUUGCUUGUACUGAUUCAUUCUGUGCAACACGCUGGUAGUCACAGCCAUGAUAUUUUUAAUGAACAAGUGCCCGAAGCAGGGCAACCACACACACACACACACACACACACACACACACACACACACACACACACACACACACACGCACACAUGCACGCAAACACACACUUAAUCCUGCCUGAUGUCACUUAGUGGGUCACUGCAACCUACUGCUAUGUGGGUCGCUGUCUGUCUCUGCUGCAAUGUAACACUGGAUCAUCAUCUGUUUCAAAAUUUAAAACAAGAAUAAAUCUUUGAAUUGAUCUCAUGAAUAUGUUUGAGCUGUCUUUUGUUACAGGUGAGGCAUGCCUCUAGUUCCUGUUUUUUGACAUUGUAAUUCUGAUUGGUGUGUUAACAGUGAAUUAAAAGAUUAAUUAAUGGACCAUCAGUUUAAUGGGUAUGCGAUCAAGCUGGAGCUCAGUUACAUAAACGUUUAUUUAUCUAACUUUAUCUAUGCAUUUAUGUAUUUAUUUGCAUCUGACAACCAGUUUGAUUUAAAAAAUUGCUUGUUUUUAUGAGAAGAGGUACUGUUCUGCUUUCAGAGAGGCUGAGCAAAUACAUGAGUCUGAAUAAUGUUUUCUCUAACAGGAAUCCAUCUUAUUUUGUUACACAUCAGUUAAUGUAUGAAGUAACUGUGUAAACAGCCUAAAUCAGCACGAGUCAGGUAUUAAGUAAUACUUAAGUAUAUGAUUUGUACCCCUAUUAUACAUUUUUGUAUUUCUACAUGAAGAAUCCUGCCCAUGGUGCCUUGCCAUAC
rnacentral:lncRNA from 15 species